UACGAAGGGGGCUAGCGUUGCUCGGAAUCACUGGGCGUAAAGCGCACGUAGGCGGAUUGUUAAGUCAGGGGUGAAAUCCUGGAGCUCAACUCCAGAACUGCCUUUGAUACUGGCGAUCUUGAGUCCGGGAGAGGUGAGUGGAACUGCGAGUGUAGAGGUGAAAUUCGUAGAUAUUCGCAAGAACACCAGUGGCGAAGGCGGACUCACUGGCCCGA
rnacentral:rRNA from 1 species